rnacentral:rRNA from 1 species
CACGUAGGGGGCGAGCGUUGUCCGGAUUUAUUGGGCGUAAAGAGCUCGUAGGCGGUUCAGUAAGUCGGGGGUGAAACCCCCGGGCUCAACCCGGGGACGCCACCUGAUACUGCUGUGACUUGAGUCCGGUAGGGGAGCGUGGAAUUCCUGGUGUAGCGGUGAAAUGCGCAGAUAUCGGGAAGAACACCCAUGGCGAAGGCAGCUCUCUGGGACGGUACUGACGCUGAGACGCGAAAGCGUGGGGAGCGAACAGG